rnacentral:rRNA from 1 species
UACGGAGGGUGCAAGCGUUAUCCGGAUUCACUGGGUUUAAAGAGUGUGUAGGCGGUGUUCCCAGUCUGUUGUGAAAUCUCCCGGCUUAACUGGGAGGGUGCAGCGGAAACUAGAAUGCUAGAGGGUGGGAGAGGUAAGCGGAAUUCCUGGUGUAGCGGUGAAAUGCGUAGAUAUCAGGAGGAACACCUGUGGUGUAGACAGCUUACUGGACCACUUCUGACGCUGAGACACGAAAGCGUGGGUAGCAAACAGG